rnacentral:rRNA from 1 species
CCUACGGGGGGCUGCAGUGGGGAAUAUUGGACAAUGGGCGAAAGCCUGAUCCAGCCAUGCCGCGUGUGUGAAGAAGGCCUUCGGGUUGUAAAGCACUUUCAGUGGGGAAGAAAGCCUUGGGGCUAAUACCCUCGAGGAAGGACAUCACCCACAGAAGAAGCACCGGCUAACUCCGUGCCAGCAGCCGCGGUAAUACGGAGGGUGCGAGCGUUAAUCGGAAUUACUGGGCGUAAAGCGCGCGUAGGCGGUCUGGUAAGCCGGUUGUGAAAGCCCCGGGCUCAACCUGGGAACGGCAUCCGGAACUGUCAGGCUAGAGUGCAGGAGAGGAAGGUAGAAUUCCCGGUGUAGCGGUGAAAUGCGUAGAGAUCGGGAGGAAUACCAGUGGCGAAGGCGGCCUUCUGGACUGACACUGACGCUGAGGUGCGAAAGCGUGGGUAGCAAACAGGAUUAGAUACCCCAGUAGUC